UAGACAGAUGCUCGCUGGCUUGAGCGCUUAGCUGUUAACUAAGAAUUUGGGGGAUCGAGGCCCCCCUGUUUAG
rnacentral:tRNA from 1 species